GGCUAAUUUGAAAGAAAAUUGAAGUCUAAAAUCUUACUCAUGUUGAAUAUGCUUGUAUUUUGAUGUUUGGUGGUAGAAAUUGCAUGUUUGUUGUUUGUUAAACAACAUUUGUAAAGUGAUUUUCGACAAAAAAGGUCAAAUAGGGACUUAUUUGUAAAAGAUUAUAAAAUGUGUAGAAAAGUGUGAAUAAAUGAAAAAUAUGGGCUGUUAUGAGUACAAGUAAU
rnacentral:lncRNA from 1 species